rnacentral:rRNA from 1 species
GUGCCAGCAGCCGCGGUAAUACAGAGGGUGCGAGCGUUAAUCGGAAUUACUGGGCGUAAAGGGCGCGUAGGUGGUGAGUUAAGAUUGAUGUGAAAUCCCUGGGCUUAACCUAGGAACUGCAUCGAUGACUGAUUCGCUUGAGUAUUGUAGAGGGUAGUGGAAUUUCCGGUGUAGCGGUGAAAUGCGUAGAGAUCGGAAGGAACACCAGUGGCGAAGGCGGCUACCUGGACAAAUACUGACACUGAGGCGCGAGAGCGUGGGGAGCAAACAGGAUUAGAUACCCUGGUAGUCC